CCUACGGGAGGCAGCAGUGGGGAAUAUUGCACAAUGGAGGGAACUCUGAUGCAGCGACGCCGCGUGAGUGAAGAAGUAUUUCGUUAUGUAAAGCUCUAUCAGCAGGGAAGAAAGUGACGGUACCUGAAAAAUAAGCUCCGGCUAAAUACGUGCCAGCAGCCGCGGUAAUACGUAUGGAGCAAGCGUUAUCCGGAUUUACUGGGCGUAAAGGGAGAGUAGGUGGGAGAGCAAGUCCGAAGUGAAAACCCCAGGCUUAACUAUGGGAAUGCUUUAGAAACUGGUCAGCUAGAGUGCAGGAGAGGAACGUGGAAGUCUUGGUGGAGUGGUGAAAUGCGUAGAUAUUAGGAGGAACACCAGUGGCGAAGGCGGCUUGCUGGACUGUAACUGACACUGAGGCUCGAAAGCGUGGGGAGCAAACAGGAUUAGAUACCCGGGUAGUC
rnacentral:rRNA from 1 species